GUGCUUGCUUCAGCUGCACAUAUAUUAAAAUGGGAAAAAUACAGAGAUUAGCAUGGCCCCUUCACAAGGAUGACAUGCAAACUUAUGAAGUGUCCCAUAUUUGG
ensembl:snRNA U6 U6 spliceosomal RNA